rnacentral:lncRNA from 1 species
UAUUUCAGUUUAUUUUUGAGUUUUGUUUUAAUCUUAUUGUUUGUGGGGUGUUUUUUUUUUAUUUUCUGAAAUCUCAUUCUUUAUAUUUGCAAGAUUCAUCUGAUGCUGAUGAUGACGACGAUGGCGAUGAUGAGUGUACUAGUCAUGAUAUGGGGAAAUGCAGAUGUCACGCAAGGGAAAGUGAUGGUGUUGUCUAUCUGACUUGUGAUGAUGCCUGGAUUAGGCAAGGAAGAUGUUAAAGUCAUGAUCGAGAAGAACAACUUAGUUGUAAAGGGAGAAGAAAAGCAAGAAGAAACAAGUUAUGAUGGUGAGAAGGGUAGGAAAUACUGCUGCAAGAUUAAAUUUGAACCUGAGCUUUUCAAGAUUAAGAAGAUUAAAGCAGAGAUGAAGGAUGGUUUGCUAAAGGUGGUUCUUCCUAUGCUAAAGGAAGAAGAAAGAAAAGACAUUAUUCAUAUUAAGGUGGAUUGAAUUGAGUGGUCUUUGGUAGAGAUGUUUAUAUUUCAUGUUUGUGAAAAGAGUACUGAUAAAAGUUGGUUUAAUGACUAGUGCUUCUAUGUUUUUGUCUCUUGUUCUUCUGGUGAACAAGAUGUUUAUUGUGAACAAGUACCCUUUGAUUGUGUUCUUUUGAAUUUUGAUUAUUAUUCAAUUUAGCUUGAAUGUCUUUGAAUUCAGAAGCUCUAUAUAUGGCUUGUAAUCUUGUUAUUAAAAUUCAGAUUUUUCUCAUCUGUGUUGGUUAAAAACGAAUUUGAGUAGUAAAAAAUUGUUCUGGACUUUUUCCAAACCAAAUUCAUAUUUUUCUUUCCAAAUAUCUUUGACCAUGGUUUGGACUCUAGUGGAUCAAAGUGACUGUUGAGACGAACUUGCUGGUUAUCAAGGGAGAAAAAAUGACAGAAACUGGUGUUGAUAAUUAAAGGAUGAACUUUGAUGGACAGGUUAAGCUGGAGACUAAACUUUACAAGGUUGAUGAGAUUAAGGCUGAAAUGAAGAAUAGUGCGCUUAAGCUGUUUAUUCCAAAGCUCAAGAAAGUGGAGAUAAAGGAUGUCAUUCAGGUGAAAGUGGAUUGAGUGUGGGUUUUAGAUGUCUGUUUAUUUGUUUCUCUGCAACACAUUAGGUGGAGAUGUUUAGUAGGUUAGAACUUAAAAGUUGAUCUAUAUAUGUCUGAACUCUGAAAUAUAUGGAGUAAUGUUUAUUGAGUUCUCUUUUUGUCUCUUGUUUUUGUGGGGAAACAUGAUGUUAAUGGAUCUAUAAGCUUCAAUGAUUUGUUAAGAAACUCGUAAUCUGAGUAUCAAACUAAAUUUCUUACUGUUUGAACUAUUCGGACUUUGUAAUUUUGUUUGAAUUGAUCUUAAAGCAUUAAUUUCUGUUUGCACCACCAGUCCACCAGGAAUGAAGUUUAAGAAGGUCUAUACAUGUUGUAUAAAUUAAGUCAGAUUUUGGAAGUAAUACCACACUAGAUCAAUUGUCCCCUGCUUGUGGUUUCCUUUCUGUAUAUUGUAUCGUGAAGCGAAAUAGCUGACAUUGUUUCUCAAUGUAAACACAAAACGAAUUCGAUCUUCCAUGGUGCAGUGGAGAAGAGAUUAUGGAUUUAGUUGCAGAUGAUUUAUAUGUGCUACAAGCCUACAAUACAAGAUAGAUUAACAUUGUAUGAAUUAUUUAAGUAUGGCAGGGUGUAACAAAAGGUCCACCAAUCUCUCGCCUGAGGUUCUUCACUUGUGAAGAUUUUUUAUGCGAGAGUGCAUGUAUUUUUCGAGAGAACAGUUAGAUAGUUUUGUUAUUAAACUUAUCACUGGUAAGGAUUUCAGCUAGCUAGAUCAAAUGAUCAAUUGAACUCUGCUUGUGGUUCAUUGUGCUUCAGACAACUGACAAGGAUGGCUUCAACUGAUGCAGAGUUUUUUGCCAUUGGUGAAACUGAUGAUUUGUUGCAAUCUAACUACUAAUUGGUUCAUAGAAUGAUAGAAGUAGGCUGGUUGGCUGGUUCAUAAAUUGGUUCAUAUAACUUUUAACCAUGGUCUGUAGUCUGUACCUUGUUUUAUGACUAAAAGUUGCAUAAAAUCAAGAAUUGCAGGAGUACAAAAUGAGCAUCAGGUCUUAAUCAAAGUAGCCACCUUGUAAACAAUGACAACUGUAUUCUUGAUAAACAAUGAUCUUAUGCUCAAACAUUAUAUGGUGAUAAGGAUAUGAUGUAAAAUCAUUAUUCAACUUACAGGACCAUAUAAUCUUAGAGAGAGUUUAAGCAACUUUUAAUCAAAUUAUCUAACAAUUUCAGAUUAAACAGAAACGAAAUUAUUUCACACUCUAAAAUUCUAGAUUCUUCUCUUUCCUCUAUAAAAAAAAAACCCUUCAUUGUUUAAAGAAGAAAGAGCUGACUGACUCUCGUCUCUCAUCUGAUGAUGAUGAUGAUGAUGAACUCAGCUUUGAUAUGUUUAAAGGUAAUAUCUCUUAUCUCUGUAUGUACUUUUAAUAAAACAUCUGUGGGUAUUUCUUAUUUUUGUGAAAAAAGGGGUUUUGGAUUUCAUUUUUCUUUCAAAUAUUCUGUAUGUUGAAUGAUGUGUUUGAAGAUAAUAACAUCUAAAUCUCUAUACUUCUAAGAAAUCAUCUUGGGUAUUUCUUAUUUUUGUGAAAUAUGGGGUUUUGGGUUUCUUAUUUAUUUCAAAUUAAUAUUUUUGUUGAAUGGACUAGUUUAUUUACUAUUUGGGGUUUAUUUCUAUAUUUCAUUCUCUCUGCUUUAGAAACAAACAAGAAUAAACUUAUUGUCUCAUCAUCUGUUUUAGUAUAAGAUUACAAUCUUGCUUUGAAAUGUUUCAUUUCUGAAAAACCCCUUCUACAUAUGUUUGUUUUGCAAGGUUCUGACCCUGAUGUUGAUGAGGAUGAUGAUGAGAUUGAUUUGGUUCGUGAGUUUAUGAAGUAUAAGGAUGAGCUAGUGGAGGAGAACCCAAAUAUCAUCAACACUACUUCUUCAAGUCUAUAUGGCAGUGCGAAAAAGUGCAGAAGCCACACAAAGGAGGAUGAUGGUGCUGUCUACCUGACUUGUGAGAUGCC